GGUUGCGAUCAUACCAGCACUAAUGCGUCGGAUCCCAUCAGUACUCCACAGUUAAACUUGCUUGGGUGAGAGUAGUACUAGGAUGGGCGACCCCCUGGGAAGUCCUCAUGUUCCAAACCU
rnacentral:rRNA from 1 species